UAAAUGCUAUUUCUAUUAUGCCAUAUUGCCCAAAAAAUAAUCCCCCACAUUUUGCAUGUGCUUAAACUAUUAUUCAAAAAUUCCUAAGCUAACCAUAACUUCAAAUUAUAUGGUUUGAGUGGGGUCUGGACGGUUUACCUGUGUUCGGCUAAGGCUAAUCUCGAGGUUUUUGAAAUGAAACAGGGAAUUAUCUCAUUCACCCGAUCUUCGUCCAUAUGUUAGCUUUUUCUUCCUUCCAAAGGCUUGCUAUUCCUUUGUCCACCCGAUCUAUAAAAGGACUAUUAUCAAGAUGAUUUUUUUCAUUUUUUUCCUAUGAGAAAACCCUAAUCUCGAAAGACCUCGAUGCUCAUUCAACCCUGAAAGC
rnacentral:lncRNA from 1 species